rnacentral:lncRNA from 1 species
AGAGCCAGAACCUACAGAGAAGGCUGCCCCCAAGAUCCAGUUUCCUUCACUGUCGACAUAGAAGAGGCCAGGGCUCUCUUCCCCCAACCACAGAUCAUGGUGCCCAUGGAUAGCCCAAUGCUUUUAUUUAUACUGAUACACCACACUGACAAGCAGCUUGGAGGCAGCUGUUAGUGAGAUGCAUUUUGAAGCUCAUAGAGUUGUCACUGCUGAGCCAGGACCUCCAGCCCUGGUGCCCAGCAAGUAUGGGUUGAUCUCUGUCACCUUUUUUUACUGUCUGGGAAGCAGCAGAGGCACCUGCUGUGACCGGGGAGUCUGCUGCAACAGAAGCAUUUUGAUUCUUGCCUCCUCUGCGACACCCCAGGUGGGCACCACCAGGCUCAGCCCAUUGCCAGGGCUCCCUGGACCCAGGUCCAGCAGAUCCACAUAACCCCCUAGUCUGAAAAACUGGUGCUGGUUCAUGGCUAUCAGCUUUCCUAGAAAAAUCUAAUGACAUGUAUCCAUCUCCAUAGUAUCAAAUAGUGUCUUUUCACUGCCCUAAAAAUUCUCAGAGUUCUGCCUAUUCACCAUCUCCCUAUAUGUAGAAGUUUAUAUGUAAUUAUUUAUAAAAUCAUUUUUUUCUUUUCUAGUCUGCUAGUCAGCUUAUUACAAAUGGGUAUUGAAUUUUAGUAUUAACCUAUUUUGUUUUUAAAAUAUAAUGAUAUUAAUUACAUUGAUUGAAUUCUAAGUGCAAAAUCAACCUGUCAUUCUUGCUUACAGCUAGUACCCCUUUCAGUGUAUCACAGAUUCUUUAAAAAAAAAAAAAGUACAACACACAAAGUGGUGGUAUCUUAGGAGUACAGCUCAUUAUCUUUCAUAUGUGUGUAUAUUGAUGUAACUUAUAGAGAGUAUGGUAUCUUUCCCUUAUUGUAUCCAUUUAUUUUUCUCCUCCUUCGUCCCCUUUCCCAUUCUUCUCCCACAUCCCAUUCCCUCCAUUACCUUACUACUUAUAGAAUACAUUGUGUGAAUGCUGAGUGUGCCAUUACAUACUGACCCAUAAUACCUGGGCUCUUUUUCACCUGAUAUCUAUAAUGAAUACAUGUUCCAAGACAAGCUAUUACAUAUCCUCCAGUAGACCUAACCACUCAGGAAUGGAAUUUCUGCAUCACAGAGAAUACAUAACUAAAAACUAGUAUUCACUGCACUGAUUUUUCUAAAGUUUGUAUAGCAUCAUAUAGUCCGUAAAGAAACUGAGAGUUUUAGUUUCUUUAUGUUCAUAUCAAAUUUGAAUUGUCCAAAGUAAUUUUUGAGUAAAAUUUAAAAGCUAAAAGCUAUCCUGGUGGGUGUAUAGUGAUAUCAUAUUAUAAUCUUAAAUUGCACUUAUCUAAUAAUGAGUAAUUUUGGAAAUAUAUUUAUGUAUUUUUUGGAUGUUCUGACACACUCUUUUGUGAAGUGUUUGGUCAGGUAUUUCGCCUUUUUUUUCCUUAAUAGGUUGAUUUACUAGGUCACACUGAUAGGCAACCUGUUAUCUGUUUGUUUUAUUCUUUUUACAAAUGUCUGAUACCAGUACUUUGUAGGGUGCAUGUGUUUCAAAUAUACUCUCUCAGGAUUUGCUUUUCACUCUCCUAUGGUGUAUUUUGAUAAAAAAAAGUUAUAAUUUUGGAAAGAGUGAUAUUAUUUAUCUUUUGGUGUUACAAUUUUUGCACUUCAUUUUGGAAAACUGGGCUUGACCCAAAUAAUAAUAUUACUUCCUUUUCUUCAAGGGACUGUGUGAUUUUAGCUUGCAUAUUUCUAUUUAUGACACAUCUUAUUUAAGUUUUACUUAUACAGCAAGUCAAUGACUAUGGUCCCUGUUUUACAUAGGAAACCUAAUUGAACAAGAUCAAUUUACUGAAAACCCCUUCUUUCUUUGUUAUAUUUCAGUGGAGGUUUUUUUUGAAAUCAAGUGAAAUUAUAUGGGUGAGUCUGUAUAUUGAAUUUACUUUCAUUUACUUUAUUGGUCUUUCUGUCCAUUCAUGCAUUGAUGACACAACUGUUAAAAUAAUCUAGCCUCAUUUAAGGACCUGAUGUCUGAUACUGGAAGUCCUCUGGAAUCCUUCCUCUACUACCAUAUUGUCCUGAUUGUUCUCAAUCAUUUGCAUUUCCAUGUAAAUGUUAAUACUAUCUUGAGUGGAAUUCUGAUUGUUAUUGCAUUAAACAUAUGGAGCAAUAUAGGCACAAAUGACUUCAUCAUGUUUAUUUCUUCCAGCCAAUGAUAUUUUGCUGCAUGCAUGUCUUCUUUCCUAUUCAGAAACGUUUCCAUAUGUCCUAACAAUGAAGUCACACAAGUUGUUUCCUAAGAACUUUACAGAUUUUUCCUAUAUAGUUUAUUACCUAGUAUUGUGGUUUUUGUCUGUUUUAUGCUAAUAUUAUAGCAAAAUAACUAUGUUUUUGUAUGCUGACCUUAUAUCUACCAACAUUGCAACCUCACUUUUCUCAUGGGGGAAACACUUGGAAAUACUUCUGGAUUUUUAAUUAGGACAUUUAUGCCACUGGAAAAGAGUUAUACCUUUUUUAUUCCUUGUCAAGGCCACACCUGCAGCAUAUUGAAGUGUCCCAGCUCUGUCCCAAAUCAGAGCUGUGGUUGAGGGCCUAUACAAGACAGUUAAAGCAUCCUUAGGCAGUUAUGAUGAUAUGUUACUCAUUGCUGUAUAAAUGCCCAGGACAAAGAACACUAGCUGCCAUCCUCUGUGUGUCAGUAGAUCAGUGUGACAGGCACUAGUAUUUAAAUGUUAAAGAUUAUUUACUAUAUAAAAUAUUUAAUGGUAUAUAAGGAUUUCUUCUUUAUAAAUCUUAGUUGCAUAAUAUACAAAAUUUUAAUACAAAGCUAAUUUUUAAGGAAAAAUUGAAAUGUAAUAGAUAAUACUAAAUGGUAAAGAUGAAAGCCAUACAAAAUGGGAUAAAGUAUAGAAUAAAUUUCCUAUUUGUCUCAGCAUAUUUUCCAUCCCACUUCUCCAGAGGGAGUCACUGUUUCUUAAGAUCCAUGAUAUAAUAAUCUGUGUGAAUGUAAUUGUUUAAAUAUGUGUAUUUUAUUCUGUAAAAAAUAAAAUUUCAAAAAAAGAGAGAUUAUUUAAUGAUAGAUGCCAUAAAAAAAGGUUUGCCCUCCACUGUAACAUGCUCGGCAGUGUGAGAACGGUGAUCUGGAUGGUAGUCUCUUGCACUGAAAUUUGAAGCAUAUCAAAGCUGAUACCAGAGAGAUCAUCACUACUUGAACAUUUUUAAGUUGAAAGCAAGAAAAAAAUCUGUAUGUUGCCUUCUGUUGACAAAAGAUUGCGUUCUAAUUGUUUAUCACAUAUAGUAAACAGUAUUCUAUAACCAAAUGCAUCAUAUACACAUUCCAUAUUCAAUUUUAUGCAGGGUGUUUGUGCAGAUUUUUCUGUAUCGUCUGCAGAGCACCUUUUGCUUUUUUGUUCCUCCAGCUGUAGAUCAUAGGAUUCAGCAUGGGGAUUCCCAAAGUUUAAAAUACAGAGGCCAUUUUAUCAGCUUCAAAGGAGUGUCUGGACUUGGGCUGCAUGUACAUAAAGGAUGGAGUUGCAUAUAAUACAGCUGCCACUGUCAGGUGCAAUCCACAGUUGGGGAAAUCCUUGUGUCUUCCCUGUGAGGUGUUCUUCCUGAGACCGGCCUCAAGGAUCCAUAUGUAGGACACAAGGACUAUCCGAAGAGAUGAAACCACAUUAAACACUGAACAGGUCAGUACGAACAGCUCAAUUUCUCAUGUGCUUGAGCACAGCCAAGUUAACAAGGGGUGGCUGCCACAGUAGAAAUGACUAAUGACAUUAUAGCCACAAAAGGAUGAAAUAAAUAUCUUUAUGGUGAUUAUCAGAGAAACAAAGACACUGUAAAAUCGGGGACUGUGACCAACACUCAGCAUACUCUUUGGGACAUAACUACCAUGCAGAGCCGAGGGUCACAGAUGGCCAUGUAGCAGUCAAAGGCCAUUGCCGACAGAAUGAAGAGUUCACUAAAGAUGAACAAAAUGAAGAAAGUCAGCUGUGUAGCACACCAAUCAUAGGAGAUUGUAUUUCAAUCAGCUACAAAGUUUACCAACAUUUUGUGUCUCACAGCACUGAAUAACCAGGAUCAGUGACAGCUAGGUGUCUGAGAAAGAAGUACAUGGGUAUCUGUAGAUGUGGGUCCAACCUGGUGAGGAUGAUCAUGCCCAAGUCACCCACUGAUAUGGCACAGGUGAUGAAGAACAGUCCAGAGGAGGGAGCCUGAAGCUCACAAAGGUCUGCGAUUCCCAUGAGGAUGAAUUCACUCAGCACAGUUUGACUCCAUUUGGCCAUCCAAGCCAUUAAGGACAAUAACUGUGUGAUGAACCAUUGGAGAAAACAUUGCAUUUCAGGAGAUGUCAUCUGUUGAAAAUUUAUUAUGCAAAGGCAUUACAUGGAAGAUAAACCCAAUCAUUUUAGAGCAAUUUAAAUCAAGAUUCAUGGAUUUCCUGUUGGGCUCAGCUGUAACAAACUCCACUAGUAUGUAUGAGGACAUGGUUUUGAUCCCUGGCCUUGCCCAGUUUGGUAUUGUUCUGGUGUUGCUGUGAGCUGUGGUACAGGCCAGCAGCUGCAGCUCUAAUUUAACCCCUAGCCUGGGAACUUCCACAUGCUGUGGGUGUGGCCCUAUCAAGUCAAGUGAGUAAAUAAAUACACAAAAAAUUAAAUAAAAAAGUAAAUACAUGAUCAAUAAGAUUGACAAAACUUUUUAACAGCAUUGACAAAAGAAAAGAAAAAAGACAAUUUUUUAAUAUCAGGAAUGAAGAAAACUAUCACUACAGACCUUGCAGUUAUCAAAAGGAGAAAAAUAAUACUAAGAACAACUCUGCACAUAUAAAUUUGACAACUCAAAUUAAAUGGACCAAUUUCUUGAAAAACACAAACCUCCACACCUCACCCAAUAUGAAAUAGAUAAUCUUAAUAGUCCCAUAACUGCUAAGAAAACAUAAUUAAUAAUUUUAAAAAAUUAAAUGGAGAGGCAUGUCAUGUACAUGGAUUGGAUGGUCUGUUGUAAUAAAGAUGUUAAUUCUC